UACGUAGGGUGCGAGCGUUGUCCGGAAUUACUGGGUGUAAAGGGUCCGCAGGCGGAGUUAUAAGUCGAUGGUGAAAUCUCCUGGCUCAACCAGGAACCUGCUGUCGAUACUAUGGCUCUUGAGUUCGAGAGAGGAUGAUGGAAUUCAUGGUGUAGCGGUGAAAUGCGUAGAGAUCAUGAAGAACACCGGUAGCGAAGGCGGUCAUCUGGCUCGAUACUGACGCUCAGGGACGAAAGCGUGGGGAG
rnacentral:rRNA from 1 species